AUUGAACGCUGGCGGAAUGCUUUACACAUGCAAGUCGAACGGCAGCACGGGGGCAACCCUGGUGGCGAGUGGCGAACGGGUGAGUAAUGCAUCGGAACGUACCCAAUCGUGGGGGAUAACUGGCCGAAAGGUCAGCUAAUACCGCAUACGUCCUGAGGGAGAAAGCAGGGGAUCGCAAGACCUUGCGCGAUUGGAGCGGCCGAUGUCUGAUUAGCUAGUUGGUGGGGUAAGAGCCUACCAAGGCGACGAUCAGUAGCUGGUCUGAGAGGAUGAUCAGCCACACUGGGGCUGAGACACGGCCCAGACUCCUACGGGAGGCAGCAGUGGGGAAUUUUGGACAAUGGGCGCAAGCCUGAUCCAGCCAUUCCGCGUGAGUGAAGAAGGCCUCGGUUGUAAAGCUCUUCGGUCAGGAAAGAAACGGUACUGUGCUAAUACCACGGGCUAAUGACGGUACCUGCAGAAGAAGACACCGGCUAACUACGUGCC
rnacentral:rRNA from 1 species